AGUCGUCUCUCUGUUAUGUGCUGCUUUGGCUACAAGUCUGAGUGUUAUAGUCUUCCUCAUUUAUACCAUCAAGAAAAACAAUCGUGACGUUUUGCAAACAGAUGCUCCAACUCAAAGUCAGCAGAGAGAUGAAGAUACUUUGGUUUAUUCUGCACCAAACAUCAUAAUGAGGAAGGCUGGCAAAGCAGAGACAAAGAAAGCGCAAAGAACAGAGGAAGAGAUCAUCUACUCUGAUGUCAGAGCUUAAAACAAUCGCACAGCUGCAGAUCAAACGUAUUUCU